UGUCGCUUAGAUAUUUGUAAUAUGAUAUCGUAUAGUUUAUACGCUUUAAAAAUUGACAACCGCGUAACAAAAUACUUUACGUUGUAAGAGUUAUCACCCUAAACACUGUUUUUCUUGUGGCCACUACUCCUUCGCAACUGUUAAAGAUUACGACAAAUUUAUUUUACCAAAUUGCUCGUUACAUCUUCAGGAUUAGGAUAUUCAUUUGG
rnacentral:lncRNA from 1 species